UGUCUGGGAGUGGCACACUGCUCAGUAACACGUAGCUAACCUACCCUUAGGACGUGGAUACCCCCGAGAAAUUGGGGUUAAUCCGCGAUAGAUGUAAUGUCCUGGAAUGGUAUUACGUCUAAAGGUAUUUCAUACAUGUUUGAAAUAUGCCUAAGGAUGGGGCUGCGGCCGAUCAGGCUGUUGGUGAGGUAAUGGCUCACCAAACCUUUGACCGGUACGGGCCAUGAGAGUGGUAGCCCGGAGAUGGACACUGAGACAAGGGUCCAGGCCCUAAGGGGCGCAGCAACCGCGAAACCUCCACAAUGCACUCACGUGCGAUGGGGCUAUCUCGAGUGCCACCUGAUGAAGGUGGCUUUUCCUUGGUCUUCAAAGCCUUGGGAAUAAGAGGGGGGCAAGACUGGUGUCAGCCGCCGCGGUAACACCAGCCCCUCGAGUGGUGGGGAUGAUUAUUUGGCCUAAAGCGUCCGUAGCCAGCCGUGAAAGUCUUCCGUUAAAUCCAGCGUCUCAAGCGUUGGACCGCGGGAGAUACUACAUGGCUAGAGAGUGGGAGAGGUCAGCGGUAUUCUGGGGGUAGGGGCGAAAUCCUUUGAUCCCCGGAGGACCACCAGUGGCGAAGGCUGCUGACUAGAACACGUCUGACGGUCAGGGACGAAAGCUGGGGUAGCGAACCGGAUUAGAUACCCGGGUAGUCCCAGCCGUAAACGAUGCAUGCUAGGUGUUGGGUUGGCCACGAGCCACCCCAGUGCCGCAGGGAAGCCGUUAAGCAUGCCGCCUGGGAAGUACGAUCGCAAGAUUGAAACUUAAAGGAAUUGGCGGGGGAGCACCACCAGGCGUGAAGCCUGCGGUUUAAUUGGAGUCAACGCCGG
rnacentral:rRNA from 1 species